AGUCUCGGCUCGCACCGCCUCAGCUCCUCCGGGCCCUCUCGGGGUGCUGCUCGGAGGGGAGUCCAGUACUGGGCGUUUUUACCUUAGUUCCUUAUUCUGCACCCCCCCACCCCGCCUCCUCCUUGCCUGUGUGCGCCCCCACCCUCUUUAUCCCGGGGGAGCGUGACUCGGCCUCAGGGCACCCACGGUCCUGGGAGCUGACAGGGAAUUCCUCUUGUGCCCGACGAAUAUUCCGUGGACACACAUUUGCUCCGCACGCGCUGUCUGCAAUGUAAUUCGACAAGUUUCUAUUUUGUUGAAUUACUUUUGAAAGUUCUUCCGUCCAGGGCGCAUGGCUCUGCAGAGCCUUCUCCUCCUUCUCUGGAGAACCCCAGGGACUUAAGCGGUAGCCUCCUCGCUGACAGGGUCUCCACUUUGUCCUGGGGGGCGAGGGGGCUGGCAAUGCGCUCACGUGGGUGUGUGCUUUGUAAAAUAUGCAAAAGUGAAAAAAAAUAUGUUUGUGGGGCAGGCUGGCGAGCAGUGGCAUGAUACAGUUCACUGCAGCCUUGAACUCCUGGGCUGCAGUGAGCCUCCUGCCUCGGCCUCCCAAAGUGCUGGGAUCACAGGCAUGGGCCACCACGCCCGGCAAAAGUAAAAAUUUUUUUGCUUUUUUUUGAGAUGGAGUUUUGCCCUUGUUGCCCAGGCUGGAGUGCAAAGGCGGGGUCUUGGCUCACUGCAACCUCUGCCUCCCGGGUUCAAGCGAUUCUCUUGCCUCAGCUUCCCGAGAAGCUGGGAUGACAGGUGCAUGUCACCACGCCCGGCUAAUUUUUGUAUUUUUAGCAGAGACAGGGUUUCUCUUGCCUCAGCUUCCCGAGAAGCUGGGAUGACAGGUGCAUGUCACCACGCCCGGCUAAUUUUUGUAUUUUUAGCAGAGACAGGGUUUCUCCAUAUUGGCCAGGCUGGUCUCGAACUCCCGACCUCAGGUGAUCCGCCUGCUUCGGCCUCCCAAAAUGCUAGGAUUACAGUUGUGAGCCACCACGCCCGACCUAAAAGUAAAAUCUUUCAAGCACAAGUUAAGACCACUGUAUCUUUCCGCCUUGAUUCUCC
rnacentral:lncRNA from 1 species